rnacentral:rRNA from 1 species
GAUGAACGCUGACAGAAUGCUUAACACAUGCAAGUCAACUUGAAUUUGGGUUUUUUAACUUAGAUUUGGGUGGCGGACGGGUGAGUAACGCGUAAAGAACUUGCCUCACAGCUAGGGACAACAUUUGGAAACGAAUGCUAAUACCUGAUAUUAUGAUUAUAAGGCAUCUUAGAAUUAUGAAAGCUAUAUGCGCUGUGAGAGAGCUUUGCGUCCCAUUAGCUAGUUGGAGAGGUAACGGCUCACCAAGGCGAUGAUGGGUAGCCGGCCUGAGAGGGUGAACGGCCACAAGGGGACUGAGACACGGCCCUUACUCCUACGGGAGGCAGCAGUGGGGAAUAUUGGACAAUGGACCAAGAGUCUGACCCAGCAAUUCUGUGUGCACGAUGACGUUUUUCGGAAUGUAAAGUGCUUUCAGUUGGGAAGAAAAAAAUGACGGUACCAACAGAAGAAGUGACGGCUAAAUACGUG